rnacentral:lncRNA from 1 species
GGGUCAACAGCGAUUGCACGGGCAUUAUAAUACUGUAAGAUUGUUUUUUAUCCUUAAAAAAUGCAGAGAAUAAUGAUCCUAAUCCUUUUUUCAGAAUCGAGAAAGUGACUGACCACCUGGAAGCACUCAUUGAUCCAUUUGACCUGGAUGUUUUCACGCCACACCUCAACAGCAACCUCAAUCGCCUGGUGCAGCGAACUUCUGUGAGUUGAGUCUCAAACAUGCUCAUUGUGACUUAAGUGCCACAGGCUCAAAUUACAAAAUUAACCUGCUGCUGCACUUACACUCCAGGAGGCAGCCUUAGGAGGGGGGUAAGACACAAAUAGCUGUGUGUAGUUAUAAGGGCUGAAAGAGGAUUAGAUAAAAUCUCACAUGCUGAGGCAAACAUGAUCUGACUCCUUAAGUUAUAGAUAAGGAUUAUUAAGGUUUUAUCCAGGCCUCAGAAAGAAAAAUAAAAGAACUAUGUGACUGUGAGAUUCUGACCUGCAGGGCAAUGAUAAAAAGUAAUUUUGAAGCAUUAAUACGCUCAAAAGAACAUUCCCCAAAACGAUGGUUAGAACAGUGAUUGAUUGCUAACAGAGAAGUGACUUUCCCUGACCUGGACAGUGAAACCCCAGCAUUUUAUUGUGCUCCAUUUCUUGUCUGUCAGGUUCUGUUUGGAUUGGUUACUGGUACGGAGAGUCAGUUCAGCCCCCGGAGCAGUACAUUCAACUCCCAAGAACCCCACAACAUACUGCCACUGGCAUCGAGUCAGAUCAGGUUUGGACUUCUCCCACUCAGCAUGACAAGCACUCGAAGGGUGAAAUCAACCAGCAGAAGCGUCGAAACAAAAGCCCAGGAUGCCAUCCGUUAAGCCUGCAGGAGUCCUUCUGGGUUGUCCCCCCGGCACUCUCCAGAGCAGGUGACCCGAUGCUUCCUGGCUCCUUGUUCAGACAGCUCGUCAGUGAGGAAGACGACACGUCUGCACCUUCAUUAUUCAAACUUGGCUGGCUCUCUAGUAUGACUAAGUAGCAUGGGAACAUACCCCUCUCUCUAAAUAAAUACUACCACAUUAUUUCUUCUAAAGGUGCCCCUGCUCAUUUGUUUCAAAGCCACACCAAUCUAUCCAGUUCCAAUGAUGGAAUGUGGCCCCCUAGUUACUGUUAGGGGUUACUUUAAGCAUAAAGUUAAUCCUUGUCCAAUAGUUUCACAAUACUUGUUGCUUUAAACAUCAGUUCAGAUAGGUUACACUUUAUCAGCAUUCAUCAAUGCCUUAAUUAUUGACACUACAAGGUGGAGUUAUCAGACAUCAGGUAAGCUGCUGAUUUAACAAGUUUGUGAGUAAGACAAAAAGUCAUUACAUAUUUCUUCACUUUCCGAGCUGUGCAGUGUUU